ACGCAUCACCAGUUUCGUUGGUGGAGACAUUCAUACUAAAACUUGAUGAGUACACACCAGGUCUUUUGCAGCUUAUGCGUGCCAAAGGAGGAGCUGCUGGUUCCAAGAUGAGACCUCUGCUGGACACUUUGAAUGACACACAAAGCAUUGAGAAGAAAAGGGAUCUCCUUAUCUGCUGCCUCAUUAGCUACCUCGGGGAAAGACAAGAAGAUCUUUUUUCAUGACUGCCAGGAAUGUGAGGAUUACACAGACAAUAUGAUGAAGGUGAUCGUGAUCCACAACAUCAUGGCUGAGGAGGAUCCAUCAGAUGUGUCCAUUGCGAUUGAGGGAAACCAAGUGAUGGAGGGAUGUGGAAGCCGAACAAAGGCAUGUGUACUGCUGAUGGGACUGAUAUAUGCCCUCAACCUCGAAUAUCCGAAGGAGCUGAAGAACACAUUUGAUAGUUUUCAAAAACUUUUUUUGGAACUUGACGGAGCCAAACUACUGAAAAAGGUCCACGGCCUCAAAAAUAAGCUUCUGCAAUGCACACACAUUUCCCCUCUUGUUCCAAGAGAAUCUUUUGUCCAGACAUAGCUUGAUGGAGCUGUAAUUUUUCUUCUGACAG